UUUUAUAUAAUAAUAUAUAUUUUUUAAUAAUAAUAUCUUUUAUAUAGACAUGCUUUAAUAGAUCUAAUAAAUGAUUAACGCGGCCCUACCAAUAUGGGUAUAUUAAUACUUAAAUCUGGGUAUUUUAAAUUUCGAAUGCGCAUUUUUAAAAAACCGAACUUAUCUAUAGAUCUCUUAUAUCUAGAAUAAUCUAGAUCUACAACACCCAGACUUAGACUAUGGUUCUAGAUCUAUUUAAAGAUAUUUUAAAAAAAUAACUCAACAGAUCUAAUAAAGUCAUGAUUUCCACUCUAUUUUCUCUAGAUCUAGACCAUACAUGAGAUCAAUAUGAAUGUUUAUAGUUUAUACUGACUUAUAGCUCUACCAGUUGAUUAUCAUCAUCAUCUCGAAUAAUAAUCUAGACAAUCUAGACUAUUAUUAACAAGUAGAACCAUGCCAACCAGUUCUGAUGAUGUACCAGAAUGGCUCGAGGAUCAUACUUAUACUAUUUCUACUCUCUGGGCAGACAUUAAUGACAUUGGCAUCCAUUCAAUAUUUAUUUUAUGUUUGGAAAUGCAAGAAAAAGGCAUGCAUUCCUGACAAGUCAAUGAUUGGUUGCACCUCUUAAAGAUAACUUUCUGUUAUGAGAAAAGAUGAGAUUCUUGGACUCCUGCAUAGCACCACCAGAAAGGAAAAUCCCAUCAUGUUGCAAAAUAAAAGUCUUGGACCAAUUUUAAUUUAAGAUAUAUAUAUUAUACUGUAAGCUCUAUACAUAUUUAUGUAUAUCCUGUCAUUCAGCCAACAGGUUUGGAUUUAGUAUUUCUUUAAAUCUGUUUGAUAUUGUACUUGAAAACUAUCAAUCUGAGCCACAUUAAAACAAUAGGGAGUGCAGUGAAUGAGUGGUAAAGCACUUGGCUUCUGAACUGAGGGUUCCUGGGUUCAAUUAAGACUGGGAUUUUCAAUUUCAGAAUUCAAAAGGCUAGGGAUACAUGGCAAUAGUAAGGAAUAAGUAAAGGCAGUUUGGGGAUCCAUGGCUGAAUGGUUAAGUCAUGGGUUUGAAUCUCUGUGAAGACUCAGAUUAAAAUUUUUUUAGAUUUUUGGGUGCCCCUGAGUCCACCUAACUCUAAUGGGUAGCUGACUUUCGUUUUGGAAAGUAAAGAUGGUUGGUUGUUGUGCUGGCCACAUCAUGCACUGGCCAAAGAAUCAAAUGACCUUAACAUCAUCUGCCCUAUAGAUUGUGAUGUCUGAAAUGGGAUUUUUUUUUCAAAAGGUGGUUGGUUGUUGUGCUGGGUACAUGACACCCUCGCUAACCAUGGGGCACAGAAACUGAUAAACUUUAUAUCAUCUGCCCCAUAGAUUGCAAGAUAUGUAAGGGAAAUUUUACUUUUUUAAAAUUAAAAUAAGAAUCUAUCAAAAGUAAACAUAAAAUAUGGUGCAUUCUCCUUAAAACUAAAACCUGGUGCGAAGGUUUAAAAUGUUGGCAAAAAAAAGCAACAUCAUAUUCUUAAUUCCCUUUGCAAAACUUACUGAGAAGAACAUGCAUGUUGUUCCCUCAUAAGUUUCUUGACAGAGGAAAUCUUGUUUAUAUUAGAUUUGAAUUAAGCAAAUUAAGAAAAAAAUUAUAAUCAUUAUUUCAAAUGGUUGUAUCUAAACCUUAUGAAUUAUUUUUCCGUUAUAAGUAUAUUGAGAUUAAUGGAUAAUCAUGAAAUUGUUAAAUAAUUGCUGCUAUCAUUCCAUUGACUAAAGAACCAUAAUUUUUUUUUUAAAAUUAAUUUCAAAAUGAUUUUUUUCAAGCAUAGAGUUCACAUAGAUCUUGAGUGAAUUUUUUUUUUUAUUUGAUUAAUGCUUCAAUUUUAUUGUAUCAUAUUAGUUAUUACUUUUUAUUACCCAGAAUAUUUAAAAAAUGAGUACACUAUUUUCAUGUAAUAAUAUAACUUGGUAUUCACACAAUGCUCAAAAUACACCAUAAUCUUUAGGCCAUACAGAUUUGUAUAAAUUAACUUGUUUAAAUACAUUGUAAAUGUAUAUUGUUUGGAUAAGAAUAAAGUUUUUCUGUAGACAAA